rnacentral:rRNA from 1 species
CAGCAGCCGCGGUAAUACGUAGGUGGCAAGCGUUGUCCGGAAUUAUUGGGCGUAAAGGGCUCGCAGGCGGUUUCUUAAGUCUGAUGUGAAAGCCCCCCGGUCAACCAGGGGAGGGUCAUUGGAAACUGGGGAACUUGAGUGCACAAGAGGAGAGUGGAAUCCCACGUGUAGCCGGUGAAAUGCAUAGAGAUGUGGAGGAACACCAGUGGCGAAGGCGACUCUCUGGUCUGUAACUGACGCUGAGGAGCGAAAGCGUGGGGAAGCGAACAGGAUUAGAUACCCUGGUAGUCCACGCCGUAAACGAUGAGUGCUAAGUGUUAGGGGGUUUCCCCCCCUUUAGUGCUGCAGCUAACGCAUUAAGCACUCCGCCUGGGGAGUACGGUCGCAAGACUGAAACUCAAAGGAAUUGAGGG